rnacentral:rRNA from 1 species
ACGAACCGUACGAACGUUAUUCGGAAUCACUGGGCUUAAAGAGUGCGUAGGCGGCUUGGAAAGUUGGGUGUGAAAUCCCUCGGCUCAACCGAGGAAUUGCGCCCAAAACUUCCAGGCUUGAGGGAGGCAGAGGUAAGCGGAACUAAUGGUGGAGCGGUGAAAUGCGUUGAUAUCAUUAGGAACACCUGAGGCGAAAGCAGCUUACUGGGUCUCUUCUGACGCUGAGGCACGAAAGCUAGGGGAGCGAACGGG